CGACGUGUUCCUUAGCACAGAGGCGGCAAAAUUCUGGGUGACCCCCACCAAACUCGUCCCAUCCACCUCCACGAUCAGAUCAUUGACCUGGAUCCUGCACACAGCACCACAACAAGUGAUGUCACCACCUCCAAGCACUUCCUGUGGCACGAGAACACGCACCUGCCGUCGCGAUGCGCCGCUCCCCCCUCGGUAACGGUUUUGACGAAGAUGCCAAGCUUUUCCAGGCCCAUGUCGGCCCCAGCGCCCAUCCCGAUGAUGCUGAUGCCCAGGCCGUCCUCGUCUGGGAGUCAAGACAAGCCGACUUUGUUUCAAGCUCCACGGGGAACAGAUCCAGCCGCUCCACCCUCUUCUCCAGCUCAUACUCGGCGGAUGCCGCCAUCGGGUCCACGUCUUCGUUGCGCCUGUCGUAGUCCUCGUUGGGGUAGGUG